rnacentral:rRNA from 1 species
AUCCUGGCUCAGAUUAAACGCUGGCGGCAUGCCUUACACAUGCAAGUCGAACGGCAGCACGGGGCAACCUGGUGGCGAGUGGCGAACGGGUGAGUAAAGCAUCGGAACGUGCCCUGGAGUGGGGGAUAACGUAGCGAAAGUUACGCUAAUACCGCAUAUUCUGUGAGCAGGAAAGCAGGGGAUCGCAAGACCUUGCGCUCUGGGAGCGGCCGAUGUCGGAUUAGCUAGUUGGUGGGGUAAAGGCCUACCAAGGCGACGAUCCGUAGCGGGUCUGAGAGGAUGAUCCGCCACACUGGGACUGAGACACGGCCCAGACUCCUACGGGAGGCAGCAGUGGGGAAUUUUGGACAAUGGGCGGAAGCCUGAUCCAGCCAUGCCGCGUGAGUGAAGAAGGCCUGGUGUAAG